CAGAACAACAGGUAUUCCCUUAGUAACGGCGAGUGAAGCGGGAAAAGCUCAAAUUUAAAAUCUCCYAGGUUUCCUAGGCGAAUUGUAGUUUCAAGAAGCGUUUUCUGAGAUGGCCUCGGUCCAAGUCUGCUGGAAGGCAGCGCCAUAGAGGGUGAUAGCCCCGUAGGAUCCUGAACCAUUUCUUUAUGAUUGCGUCUUCGAAGAGUCGUACAGUUUGAGAAUGCUGUGCUAAAUGGGAGGUAAAUAUCUUCUAAAGCUAAAUAUUGGCGUGAGACCGAUAGCGAACAAGUACCGUGAGGGAAAGAUGAAAAGAACUUUGAAAAGAGAGUUAAAUAGUACGUGAAAUUGUCUAAAGUGAAACGUUUGAAACUAGUAUCGGAAGAUUACGGACAGCCGCAAGGUGCACUCGUAGUUUUCUGUGCCAGCGACAGUUUUGCUUGCAGUAAAUGCUCCUAGGAAUGUAGCUUCGGUGUUAUAGACUAGGGUGAGUGCUGUGGGUGGGACUGAUGAUCGCCACUGCCUUGGGGAAGCAGCUGCCUCGAAGCAAGCAGUUUUGGACAACUUGUUGACCAAGACUGUUUUGUUAGGGAUCGGUUGUGUACCACUAUCAGUGUAGGUCGCUGGUGAAAUAGUUUUAAGCGACCCGUCUUGAAACACGGACCAAGGAGUUCUACAAAUGCGCGAGUCUUUGGGUGUCAAACCCGAGGGCGGAAUGAAAGUAAACGUAGGUGUGAUCCGCAAGGUGCAACAUCGACCGGACUGGAUUUCUUUGAAAGUUCUGAGUAAGAGCGCAUUUGCAGAGACCCGAAAGAUGGUGAACUAUACCUGAGUAGGGUGAAGUCAGAGGAAACUCUGAUGGAAGCUCGUAGCGGUUCUGACGUGCAAAUCGAUCGUCGAACUUGGGUAUAGGGGCGAAAGACUAAUCGAA
rnacentral:rRNA from 1 species